rnacentral:lncRNA from 1 species
AAUAAUGUUAAUGUUAUUAUUUAGAAUCUUAUUCUAAUAAUUUCAAGUGAUGUCUAUAUGUACUUAAGUAAUAGAAUUAGAAUUUGGCAUGAAAUAUGGUUUAUAUUACUAACUUCUUGAUAUCAUAUAUAAAUAUCAUAAUAAAACUAAAAUUUUACAAAAAUUUGUCUCUAUAAAAUUAAUAUUUAAGAGAAAGAGUGUAACACUAUAUAAACUCUUCAGAGACUUUGUGUUUUUCCAGUAAUGAAUUAUAUUCAAAAGGUGUUUUUCUAUAAAUUGGCAAGAUGUAUAAUAUAUUUUAUAUUCUAUUCUUGUUUUGUUUGUUCUUAUGAGCUUAACUAAAUACACUCAAAUCUUU